AGUCGAGCGAUUACUUCGGUAAGAGCGGCGGACGGGUGAGUAACGCGUGGGUAACCUGCCCUGUACACACGGAUAACAUACCGAAAGGUAUGCUAAUACGAGAUAAUAUACUUUUAUCGCAUGGUAGAAGUAUCAAAGCCCCGGCGGUACAGGAUGGACCCGCGUCUGAUUAGCUAGUUGGUAAGGUAACGGCUUACCAAGGCGACGAUCAGUAGCCGACCUGAGAGGGUGAUCGGCCACAUUGGAACUGAGACACGGUCCAAACUCCUACGGGAGGCAGCAGUGGGGAAUAUUGCACAAUGGGCGAAAGCCUGAUGCAGCAACGCCGCGUGAGCGAUGAAGGCCUUCGGGUCGUAAAGCUCUGUCCUCAAGGAAGAUAAUGACGGUACUUGAGGAGGAAGCCCCGGCUAACUACGUGCCAGCAGCCGCGGUAAUACGUAGGGGGCUAGCGUUAUCCGGAAUUACUGGGCGUAAAGGGUGCGUAGGUGGUUUCUUAAGUCAGAGGUGAAAGGCUACGGCUCAACCGUAGUAAGCCUUUGAAACUGGGAAACUUGAGUGCAGGAGAGGAGAGUGGAAUUCCUAGUGUAGCGGUGAAAUGCGUAGAUAUUAGGAGGAACACCAGUUGCGAAGGCGGCUCUCUGGACUGUAACUGACACUGAGGCACGAAAGCGUGGGGAGCAAACAGGAUUAGAUACCCUGGUAGUCCACGCCGUANACGAUGAGUACUAGCUGUCGGAGGUUACCCCUUCGGUGGCGCAGCUAACGCAUUAAGUACUCCGCCUGGGAAGUACGCUCGNCAGAGUGAAACUCAAAGGAAUUGACGGGGAC
rnacentral:rRNA from 1 species